UACGAGGGGGGCAAGCGUUGUUCGGAUUUAUUGGGCGUAAAGGGUGCGUAGGCGGUCUGGCAAGUCUUGUGUGAAAUCUUCGGGCUCAACCCGAAGUCUGCACAAGAAACUGCCGGGCUUGAGUAUGGGAGAGGUGAGUGGAAUUUCCGGUGUAGCGGUGAAAUGCGUAGAUAUCGGAAGGAACACCUGUGGCGAAAGCGGCUCACUGGACCAUAACUGACGCUGAGGCACGAAAGCUAGGGGAGCAAGCAGG
rnacentral:rRNA from 1 species